CUGUAGUUAAAUUUCAAUCAAUAAUAUAAUCACAAACAAAGUAACAGUCGAAUUUUCUAUGUUUUAUAGGUUCAUGAAAAACAGGAUUUACAAGUAAUCUGACUAUCACAAAGCAAACAAAAAUAUCUGAGAGAGAACUUAAGUUGGACAAUAAUCAAUGCAUCCAUUAUUCCAUUUGAUCUCACGCACAUCAACUACAAUAGCUCGGUACUUUGUUUCGGUGGAUGAUGAAUGAGAUUGUAUUUUUUCUUUUUUGGUCUUUACUAGAGAUAAAAAGAACCUCCAAGUGAAGCAACUUAUGAGCCAAAAGACCUAUCGUGUCAUCGGAUAUACAGUCCGGUCAAAAUCACGAAUACAUCCCUUUGAGAUAUUGAACUAUCCUCAAUGCAGGUUCCAAUGCUCUUUAGAGAGAUUUUGCAUAACCUAUUUUCAUAUAUAUAAA
rnacentral:lncRNA from 1 species